CCUACGGGUGGCAGCAGUGAGGAAUAUUGGUCAAUGGGCGCGAGCCUGAACCAGCCAAGUCGCGUGAGGGAAGACGGUCCUAUGGAUUGUAAACCUCUUUUGUCGGGGAGCAAAAGACGCCACGCGUGGCGUUCCGAGAGUACCCGAAGAAAAAGCAUCGGCUAACUCCGUGCCAGCAGCCGCGGUAAUACGGAGGAUGCGAGCGUUAUACGGCCCCCCCCCCCCCCCCCCCUGCCCAGGCGGAAGAUCAAGUCAGCGGUAAAAUUGAGAGGCUCAACCUCUUCGAGCCGUUGAAACUGGUUGUCUUGAGUGAGCGAGAAGUAUGCGGAAUGCGUGGUGUAGCGGUGAAAUGCAUAGAUAUCACGCAGAACUCCGAUUGCGAAGGCAGCAUACCGGCGCUCAACUGACGCUCAUGCACGAAAGUGUGGGUAUCGAACAGGAUUAGAUACCCCUGUAGUC
rnacentral:rRNA from 1 species